AACCAUAGAAACCUGCGGAGUACCUGCGGAAGGAUCAUUAGUGAAUGGGCCGCAAGGCCUCAAUUCCAAUCCCACACCUUUGUGAACUCGUCACGGUAGCUUUGGCGGGGCCAUCCUAUGGAUGCUCCGAUGAGGAGAGUCCCCGCCAGAGGUUUUACGGUCAAACAUAUUUAUUUGAAAAAGUCAGAAAGUCAUUUACACAAUCCACAAAACUUUCAGCAAUGGAUCUCAGAUCGGAAG
rnacentral:misc_RNA from 1 species